rnacentral:rRNA from 1 species
GGUGAACGCUGGCGGCGUGCUUAAGACAUGCAAGUCGAACGGGCUCUUCGGAGCCAGUGGCGCACGGGUGAGUAACGCGUAACUGACCUACCCCAAAGUCGCGGAUAACGAUUCGAAAGAAUCGCUAAUACGUGAUGUGCUGUCAGAUCCUGUUCUGCCAGUAAAGAUUUAUUGCUUUGGGAUGGGGUUGCGUUCCAUCAGCUAGUUGGUGGGGUAAAGGCCCACUAAGGCGACGACGGAUCGCCGGCCUGAGAGGGUGGCCGGCCACAGGGGCACUGAGACACGGGUCCCACUCCUACGGGAGGCAGCAGUUAGGAAUCUUCCACAAUGGGCGAAAGCCUGAUGGAGCGACGCCGCGUGAGGGAUGAAGGGCUUCGGAUCGUAAACCUCUGAAUCAGGGACGAAAGACGCGAAAGCGGGAUGACGGUACCUGAGUAAUAGCACCGGCUAACUCCGUG